UACGUAGGGGGCGAGCGUUGUCCGGAGUUACUGGGCGUAAAGGGCAUGCAGGCGGUGGCGCGCGUUUUGUGUGACAGCGGAUGGCUUAACUAUCCGAGCAUACGAAAGACGGCGGCACUUGAGAGCGCGAGAGGGACACGGAAUUCCGGGUGGAGUGGUGAAAUGCGUAGAGAUCCGGAGGAACACCGAAGGCGAAGGCAGUGUCCUGGCGCGUAUCUGACGCUGAGGUGCGAAAGCCAGGGGAGCGAACGGG
rnacentral:rRNA from 2 species